GGUCUAGUAGCUCAGUGGUUAAGAGCACAGCCAGGAAGUCCUUGGUUCAAUCCCAGGCUGGGUCA